rnacentral:rRNA from 1 species
GACGAACGCUGGCGGCGUGCCUAAUACAUGCAAGUAGAACGCACAGUUUAUACCGUAGCUUGCUACACCAUAGACUGUGAGUUGCGAACGGGUGAGUAACGCGUAGGUAACCUGCCUGGUAGCGGGGGAUAACUAUUGGAAACGAUAGCUAAUACCGCAUAAUAUUGAUUAUUGCAUGAUAAUUGAUUGAAAGAUGCUAUUGCAUCACUACCAGAUGGACCUGCGUUGUAUUAGCUAGUAGGGGAGGUAACGGCCCACCUAGGCGACGAUACAUAGCCGACCUGAGAGGGUGAUCGGCCACCCUGGGACUGAGACACGGCCCAGACUCCUACGGGAGGCAGCAGUAGGGAAUCUUCGGCAAUGGACGAAAGUCUGACCGAGCAACGCCGCGUGAGGGAAGAAGGUUUUCGGAUCGUAAAGCUCUGUUGUAAGAGAAGAACGGGUGGGAGAGUGGAAAGUUCACACUGUGACGGUAUCUUACCAGAAAGAGACGGCUAACUACGUG